rnacentral:lncRNA from 1 species
AUGCCAGGUGAUAUUUUAGGUUAUUCUUCUUUUAAUGCCCUUAUCCUUCCUUAUUCUCUUUCACCUUUGCAUUUCUUUAAACCUACUCCUCCAGGUUACUUAAUCAUCUCUUCUAUCCCUCGCCAUCAAUCACUCAUCCACCGUUUCUCCUCACAUGCCUGCUGCACUCUCACCGCUCACCUCUCAUUCACUGUUUCCUCACUUCUUGCCUCUUGUCCAUUGCUCCCUUGCCGUCAACCACUCGACCGCCACUUCUCCACUCUCGUUCGCUGCUCCCUCGCCGCUUGUCACUCGUCCACUGCUCCCUCGCUGCUCCCCUCUCGAUCGCUACUCUGUUGCCAUCUGGUAAUUGUAUGUCGCUUCUUCUCUCUCAUCCGCUCCUCCCUCGCCACACAUCUCUCAUCCUCCGUACCUUCGCCACUCGCCCUUGUCCAUUGGUCUCUCCCCACUCACCCCUCGUCCAUCGCUUUCUGUAUGUCUCUCCCUCAUCUGCUGUUUGACCUUUCCCCCUCUGCUUCUUAUUUGUCAUUUCUCCCCUCCACUCUUUGCUCAAGAUCCUUAACUCACUGGCACCUUCUGUCCCACUGUCUGGUGGUCCUCUUUCUUUCCGUCGCCGCUUUAUCUAUCUCCAAGUUUGGUAUAGCUCUAUUGUCGGAGGCAACCCCCAACUGUCGUUUGGCUCCGUUUUCUAUAUUUAUUGCUCUAUGGGCCAGCUCUCUCUUGCCCUCUUUCUCACUUCUUCCUGUCUCUAUCGUCUUGGCUUCCUCAUCCCACUCUUCCGUUUCCUGCCUUCUUCCACUUUGUUUAAAGAAGGAGGGCUGUAGACUACACAAAUCUUCCUCAAGUCCCUUCAAUAUGACACCUAUCUGCUUCCUAGCAUUCUGCCUGUUGUCAGGCAUAGUGCCAUCUUACUGAGGGUGAUGGAAGGUUGACAUCAGACAGAGCACCGAGGAUAAGGUAAGUGCCAUGUUAUGGGUGAGGAUCAGCACAAGAAUGGCUGCUCAGUGGCACGGAUCCAUAUUCAUUGUGGCAGGGCAGGAGGGAUUCCCUCCCAUCUGGGGACACUUCCAGACAGGCCCUAUAUCCCAGGAUCUAAUCCCAGGUUUUCUGUUUAUCCCAGAAUAUCUGACAGUGCAGACUCAUAUAAUCCAGUUUAAAGCAGAAAACCUGGGAUCAAAUCCUGUUAUAUAGGGCCUGUCUGGAAGGGACCUAGGACAUCUGAUCAUGACUGGAUCACAGGUCAGUGUAGAGCAGGGGUCCCCAAACUAAGGCCCACAGGCCAGAUGAGGACCUACAAGAUUAUUUACCUGACUCACACCCUAAACUUUAGAUUUAGGGUUGCCCUAAGUCUGAAAUGACUUAAAGGCACAGAACAACAAUAUCUCACUAGACAAAAGCAGGCCCACACUUCCCAUUGAAAUACUGGUAAAUUUAUGUUGAUUACAAUUGUUCUUCAUUUAAAUAUUAUUUUGUUUGUUCAUUUUUCUUGCACUACUAAUAAGAUAUGUGCAGCAUGCAUAGUUAUUUGUUCAUUUUUUUUUCAAAGUAGAGUCAACACCCCCCCCCCAACAGUCUGAGGGCCCUUCCAGACAGGCCCAAUAUCCCAGGAUCUAAUCCUAGGUUUUCUGCUUUAAACUGGAUUAUAUGAGUCCGCACUGCCAGAUAAUCUGGAAUAAACAGAAAAUCUGGGAUCAGAUCCUUGAAUAUAGGGAUCCUUGGGAGGGCCCUGAGGGACCAUGAACCAGCCAUCUGCUUAAAAAGUUAGAGGGCCCCUGGUGUAGAAAGACCAUAGAGUCAUAGAAAUACGUUUGGAAUGCUAUUCACACAGCAAUAGAAAUGCUAUGUUUAAACAUUCAAUUUAAAAAUGUAUAUUUUGAACAUGCAUGCAUUUUAAAAAUUUAAAAGAAAC